AAGGGUCAUUCCAUGGGGUUGGGGCAAAAAUUGUGACAUCAGGGUCAAAAAAUAGAAAUGUAAUAAAUGAAAUGUUUUAUUUCUUAUAUGUUUCAUGGGACAAUCCUUCAGCUAAAUCCACUUACAGGCAUUUCAUACCACCCUGCAUAUUGGAGUAAACUGAGAAAUAAGAUUUGACAAAAUACCACCGUUACAUGGACAUCAUUUAUCAUCCUUACUAAGACUAUGCUCUCCCACUGUCAAAAUAAAGGGGUUGAUCUCCAUUACUCUUGAUAAAUAUUUUGCUAACAACAUUGUUAGUCACUUUAUUCCACACUUUUCAACAUGGCAUAUAUAUUUUGAAAGAUUUAGCAUCAAUAAAUGGAACUUGAUGCUCUGUGUGUAUACCAGUGCCAUGUUCUGUGUCGUUCUUUUUUCUCACCAGUCUAGAAAAUUGAAUUUAUGAUGGCAUAUAGAACUAAAUAGUUGAGAGAAGUCAUGCCUCAACAGAAUGGAAUAUUCUCUUUGGAAAAACUAAACUACUCUUUCUGGCAUAACCUUCUAUUUUUAGUGUUACCACCGUUACAUGGACAUCAUGUCUCAGUAACAGAGGUAUACUUAGAAGCAAUGUUAAGUUAAUGUCCAUUAAUGGCCAUUACACACCAAAUUCCACUUCAUGCCUUAGAAUAUUUGCACAAGAUCAAUUGAUUACACUAAAGAAAAACAUUUUGCAUGUCAAAUUCUUUGCAAAUAAAAGCAAAUUAAAUUAGAGUUUAAACAAGGAAAAAUGUACAAAAUUAUUGACAAAUUAUAUUUAAAAUCAUACUACGAUAAUCCUCAAGUUUCCACUUCCGUCUACCUCUGGAAACAUUUACGUUUCUGCCUAAAGGGAAAAAACAAAACAGUGCUAUCUUAUGAUCUCCAAUUCUUUUUACUUUAAAAUAACUCCUUCAAGAUAUUACUUUCAAAUGUACAUACCACCGUUACAUGGACAUCAUGUCUCAGUAACAGAGGUAUACUUUGAAGCAUUGCUAAGUUAAGGUCCAUUAAUGGCCAUUAAACACCAAAUUCCACUUCAUGCCUUAGAAUAUUUGCACAAGAUCAAUUGAUUAUACUAAAAAACAUUUUUCAUGUCAAAUUCUUUGCAAAUAAAAGCAAUUUAAAUUAGAGUUUAAACAAGGAAAAAUGUACAAAAUUAUUGAUAAAUUUAUAUUUAAAAUAAUACUAAGGUAAUCCUCAAGGUUCCACUUCCGUCUAUCUCUGGAAACAAAUGUUUCUGUCUAAAGGGGAAAAAAAAAGAGUGCUAGCUUAUGAUCUCCAAAUCUUUAUUACUUUAAAAUAUCUCCUUCACGAUAUUACUUUCAAAUGUACAUACCUCCGUUACAUGGACAUCAUGUCCUUGUAAUGAUCAUAUUGAAUAGUAUUACAUGUACUUGCCAUUCUUUUAGUAUCAACACACUAAUGCGAGUUAACUCAUCUUACUCAAGUGUAGAAAUACAACAUCUACAGGCAAGCUUCUAAAAUGCAUCAAUGAACAGGUUACAAGUUUAUGAACUUCAAGAUGAUCGGUGACCCAAUGACAACUGUGUGGAAGAGGACUCUGUCAAUGUCACAAAAUAGAUAGAGGUAGAAUUGUGCCUCGCCAUCAGGCCAGGAGUACAGGUCACCAGAUUGACACUUCAUGUACUGAAGAUAUACAUUUUUACCUUCAACAGAG
rnacentral:lncRNA from 1 species